rnacentral:rRNA from 1 species
GACGAACGCUGGCGGCGUGCUUAACACAUGCAAGUCGAACGGACAGGCCCUGCUUUUGCUGGUUUCUCGUUUGGCGCACGGGUGAGUAACACGUGUGUAUCCUGCCCUUGACUUUGGGAUAACUUCAGGAAACUCGGGCUCAUACCCCAUAUGAUCUCUUGCUCCAUGGUGUUGGUUGGAAAGUUUCGGCGGUUGUGGAUGGACUCGCGGCUUAUCCGCUUGUUGGUGGGGUAGUUGCUUACCAAGGCUUUGACGGGUAGCCGGCCUGAGAGGGUGACCGGCGACAUUGGGACUGAGAGACGGCACAGACGCGGACGGGAGGCAGCAGGGGGGAAUAUGGCAGAAUGGGCGGAAGCCUGAUGCAGAAACGCCGCGUGCGGGAUGACGGCCUUCGGGUGGUAAACCGCUUUCGCAUGUGACGAAGCGUGAGUGACGGUAAUGGGUAAAGAAGCACCGGCUAACUACGUG